ACGCUCGACACCUACUGGAGGCAGCAGGUGGGGAAUAUUGCACAAGUGGGGGAAACCCUGAUGCAGCGACGCCGCGUGAGCGAAGAAGUAUUUCGGUAUGUAAAGCUCUAUCAGCAGGGAAGAAACUGACGGUACCUGACUAAGAAGCACCGGCUAAAUACGUGCCAGCAGCCGCGGUAAUCUGAGCGGGCUGGCAAGGC
rnacentral:rRNA from 1 species